rnacentral:rRNA from 1 species
AGAGUUUGAUUCUGGCUCAGAACGUACGCUGGCGGCACGCCUAACACAUGCAAGUCGAACGAAGUAGCAAUACUUAGUGGCAGACGGGUGAGUAACAUGUAGGUAUCUGCCCUUUGGCCUGGAAUAACACGAGGAAACUUGUGCUAAUACCGGAUAAGUCUUUACGGAGAAAGCUUUAUGCACCAUUGGAUGAGCCUGCACUUGAUUAGUUUGUUGGUGGGGUAAUGGCCUACCAAGACUUUGAUCAAUAGCUGAUUUGAGAGGAUGAUCAGCCACAUUGGGACUGAGACACGGCCCAAACUCCUACGGGAGGCAGCAGUGGGGAAUCUUGCACAAUGGAGGAAACUCUGAUGCAGCGAUGCCGCGUGAGUGAAGAAGGCCUUUGGGUUGUAAAGCUCUUUCGUCGGGGAAGAAAAUGACUGUACCCGAAUAAGAAGGUCCGGCUAACUUCGUGCCAGCAGCCGCGGUAAUACGAAGGGACCUAGCGUAGUUCGGAAUUACUGGGCUUAAAGAGUUCGUAGGUGGUUGAAAAAGUUGGUGGUGAAAUCCCAGAGCUUAACUCUGGAACUGCCAUCAAAACUUUUCAGCUAGAGUUUGAUAGAGGAAAGCAGAAUUUCUAGUGUAGAGGUGAAAUUCGUAGAUAUUAGAAAGAAUACCAAUUGCGAAGGCAGCUUUCUGGAUCAUUACUGACACUGAGGAACGAAAGCAUGGGUAGCGAAGAGGAUUAGAUACCCUCGUAGUCCAUGCCGUAAACGAUGUGUGUUAGACGUUGGAAAUUUAUUUUCAGUGUCGCAGCGAAAGCGAUAAACACACCGCCUGGGGAGUACGACCGCAAGGUUAAAACUCAAAUGAAUUGACGGGGACCCGCACAAGUAGUGGAGCAUGUGGUUUAAUUCGAAGAUACGCGCAGAACCUUACCAACACUUGACAUGUUCGUCGCGACUUUAAGAGAUUAAAGUUUUCGGUUCGGCCGGACGAAACACAGGUGCUGCAUGGCUGUCGUCAGCUCGUGUCGUGAGAUGUUGGGUUAAGUCCCGCAACGAGCGCAACCCUCACUUUUAGUUGCCAUCAUUUAGUUGGGCACUCUGAAAGAACUGCCAGUGAUAAGCUGGAGGAAGGUGGGGAUGACGUCAAGUCCUCAUGGCCCUUACGUGUUGGGCUACACACGUGCUACAAUGGUAUCUACAACAGGAAGCAAGACGGCGACGUCAAGCAAAUCCUUAAAAGAUACCUCAGUUCGGAUUGCACUCUGCAACUCGAGUGCAUGAAGCUGGAAUUACUAGUAAUCGUGGAUCAGCGUGCCACGGUGAAUGCGUUCCCGGGUCUUGUACACACCGCCCGUCACACCAUGGGAGUUGGUUCUACCUUAAGGCAAGGUUUAAAACCCUUGACCACGGUAUAGUCAGCGACUGGGGUGAAGUCGUAACAAGGUA